rnacentral:rRNA from 1 species
AUGACCAAGUAUGAUAUUCAUGGCAUCCUCGAACUUCCAGUAGAUGGUGAGCCACUUGUGUGUGAUCCUCAAUCCGGUCGUGACUUUAUCCUCUCUCACUUCAACAUGACCAGUAUUCCUCCCGUGUCCUUUGCAAACAAGCUAAAAUCAACCGAAGUCGAGUUGCCUGAUGAAGAUGUCUUUAUUUGUUUCAUGAUUGUUGCUUUCUCAUCAUUCCUUUGUCCCAACUCUAGCCUCAGUCCUAGCCCAAAGUACCUUCAUAUCUUUAGGGAUUGUCCUUCUGUGCGUAACUAUGAUCUGUCGAAAUUUGUUUAUGAGUGGCUGUUGAGUUGCAUAAAGAAGUUCAAGGAUUCCACUAAAGUUGCUUCCAAAAGAUCAGUGACGUUUGGCGGUUGUCACUACGCUUUUGAUGUUUGUUACCUUGACCAUCUCAAUUUUGGUCUUCACUCUGUCCCUGAUGUAAAGCCUCGGAUCCUAGCAUGGAGAGGCAACAAAGUUAAGCAAUUUUCAGAGCUUGAUAGAAACAAUAGCCGAUCUUUUGGUAAGAGGCCUCUAAAGCAGCUAUGUCCUUCAGUUCAUCCGCAGCAGUCUAUCGAGAAAUCUUCAGCAAGCAAGGAUGGUGAUGUCCCCCUUUGCAACGCCAAACUUUUUGAAAUGAAUGUGCAGAAAUCAUUUGGUGCUCGUUUUGGGUUAGAGGCUGCUCAGGUAGUUAUAGACCUUGUUCAAUCCAGGAACAAAGAUAAGCCUAAGCUAUUUGUAGAAUGGCAAUAA